UCGUAACAUCAACCACACCCGCCUACGUGAUACUACAUAAUUAGUGGUUGCAAAAUAGUUUCUAAGUGGUUGUUCUCCAAUUACCAAUCAUGCAUUGUCACGUAGGCGGAUUUGAUCGACGUUGUGGUGUUAUUGUAUAUCAGUACUGCAAUAGCUUUAUGUACUAUACUCUAUAGAGUGGAAAUUGGCUUCACAUCAUCCGUUGGAAGCUUACGUACGCGAUGUCGUUUCUUUUUUAAGUUGUGAUUCAAAUAAAUAUGUCACGGCCGGUAACCCCUCUCCCUUCGUCCCUGCCUAUAAAUCCAGGAGUACUUUUCCCUGCUUUCUUUCCAUAAAUAUUGUCAUCUGUCCUCUUCAUUUCCGUUCUUGUGAGCGCUCCACAGGCAAAAGGUUCCACCAUACUUCAACAGGUUACUUUGGCUAGCUUGGAAAAGAAAUUUACGACAAGCAUUUGUGGCAUUUUGGAUGGGAAAAGAAUUUGAGCUAAAGCUUCUCUGCUGCAUUUGUUCGGGGUGUGAGAGAAAAUUGAAGAAACAACUGCUGAAAAUACAAGGCGUGGAUUCCGUUGACAUAGACGGAGGAGGAAAGAAGGCAAAGAUUUCAGGAGAUGUGGUCCCCCAAAUAGUCAUUGACGAGCUUCUAAAGCGUUGGAGAAAAGCUGAGCUUUUAUGAGACAGGAGAACACCCGCUGAUUAGGAUUGCUAAACAAAUCAAACUACUUGAGUUUGAACUUGUGUUCGUUCGUUAAAAGUUUAUUUAAGAUUGAUUUGUUACAUAAUCAAACCAAGUUUGAACAUUUAUUUGAAGCUCGUUAAGAUUUCAAGUUAAGCUUGAACACGCUACUACUAGGCUAGCUCAUUCGACUUACUAUGUAUAAAAUUUUAAGCUACUUGAGAUUGGCUCGUGUUUGUUUGACUUAAUUAAAGUUUGUUUGAGAUCAA